UACAGAGGUCCCAAGCGUUGUUCGGAUUCAUUGGGCGUAAAGGGUGCGUAGGCGGCUUUCUAAGUCUGAUGUGAAAUCCCGGGGCUCAACUCCGGAACUGCAUUGGAUACUGGGAGGCUUGAGUACUGGAGAGGAGACUGGAAUUUACGGUGUAGCAGUGAAAUGCGUAGAGAUCGUAAGGAAGACCAGUGGCGAAGGCGAGUCUCUGGACAGUUACUGACGCUGAGGCACGAAGGCCAGGGGAGCAAACGGG
rnacentral:rRNA from 1 species